AAGAAGCUUGCUUCUUUGCUGACGAGCGGCGGACGGGUGAGUAAUGCCUAGGAAUCUGCCUAGUAGUGGGGGAUAACUUGCCGAAAGGUAAGCUAAUACCGCAUACGCCCUACGGGGGAAAGCAGGGGACUCUUCGGAGCCUUGCGCUAUUAGAUGAGCCUAGGUCGGAUUAGCUUGUUGGUGAGGUAAUGGCUCACCAAGGCGACGAUCUCUAACUGGUCUGAGAGGAUGACCAGUCACACUGGGACUGAGACACGGCCCAGACUCCUACGGGAGGCAGCAGUGGGGAAUAUUGCACAAUGGGGGAAACCCUGAUGCAGCCAUGCCGCGUGUGUGAAGAAGGCCUUCGGGUUGUAAAGCACUUUCAGUGGUGAGGAAAGGCGAGAGGUUAAUAACCUCUCGCUGUGACGUUAACUACAGAAGAAGCACCGGCUAACUUCGUGCCAGCAGCCGCGGUAAUACGAGGGGUGCAAGCGUUAAUCGGAAUAACUGGGCGUAAAGCGCACGCAGGCGGUUUGUUAAGCCAGAUGUGAAAGCCCCAAGCUCAACUCGGGAACUGCAUUUGGAACUGGCAAACUAGAGUCUUGUAGAGGGGGGUAGAAUUUCCAGUGUAGCGGUGAAAUGCGUAGAGAUUGGAAGGAAUACCAGUGGCGAAGGCGGCCCCCUGGACAAAGAC
rnacentral:rRNA from 1 species